AACUUUCAGCAACGGAUCACUCGGUUCUCGCAUCGAUGAAGAACGCAGCGAAAUGCGAUAAGUAAUGUGAAUUGCAGAAUUCAGUGAAUCAUCGAAUCUUUGAACGCAACUUGCGCUCCUUGGUACUCUGAGGAGCAUGCCUGUUUGAGUGUCAUUAAACUUCUUCUCAACCCAUCCAGUUUCUCUGUGCGUGGGCUUUGUAAAAUUGGGGCCUUGCUGGUUAACUAGUUGUCCAGCUAUCCUGAAAAGCAUUGGCGGCAUCUGGGCUGCUUGCAGGUGUGUUAACUUGUCUACACCUUUGCAGUGGCUGCAUUUGUGCUGCUUUAGAGGGCAUUGAUGAAAUUUAACCUCAAAUCAGGUAGGACUACCCGCUGAACUUAAGCAUAUCAAUAAGCGGAGGCU
rnacentral:misc_RNA from 1 species